AUUGAACGCUGGCGGCAUGCUUUACACAUGCAAGUCGAACGGCAGCGCGGGCUUCGGCCUGGCGGCGAGUGGCGAACGGGUGAGUAAUACAUCGGAACGUGCCCAGUAGUGGGGGAUAGCUCGGCGAAAGCCGGAUUAAUACCGCAUACGACCUGAGGGUGAAAGCGGGGGAUCUUCGGACCUCGCGCUAUUGGAGCGGCCGAUGGCAGAUUAGCUAGUUGGUGGGGUAAAGGCCUACCAAGGCGACGAUCUGUAGCUGGUCUGAGAGGACGACCAGCCACACUGGGACUGAGACACGGCCCAGACUCCUACGGGAGGCAGCAGUGGGGAAUUUUCGACAAUGGGCGAAAGCCUGAUCCAGCAAUGCCGCGUGUGUGAUGAAGGCCUUCGGGUUGUAAAGCACUUUUGGCGGGAACGAAAAGGACUGUGCCAAUACCACGGUUCGAUGACGGUACCCGCAGAAUAAGCACCGGCUAACUACGUG
rnacentral:rRNA from 1 species